CUUUUAUUCAUUAAGUUUCAGAGGUGCGCAAAGGGUGUCCAGCAAUAGCAGAGUGAUCGUUCAGUGUCUGUGGGUGAAGUUCAAUAUACAAUGGCAGAAAAACCUUUGACAGACUGGGACAGUGGUCUUUGUGACUGCUUUGAGGAUGCACGUACUUGCUGCUAUGGAUUCUGGUGCUGCCCCUGUCU